AUUGAACGCUGGCGGCAAGCCUAACACAUGCAAGUCGAACGAGUGGCGGACGGGUGAGUAAUGUCUGGGAAACUGCCUGCUGGAGGGGGAUAACUACUGGAAACGGUAGCUAAUACCGCAUACCAUCGGAUGUGCCCAGAUGGGAUUAGCUAGUAGGUGGGGUAAAGGCUCACCUAGGCGACGAUCCCUAUCUGGUAUGAGAGGAUGACCAGCGACGCGUGAACUGAGACACGGUCAGGACUCCUACGGGAGGCAGCAGUGGGGUAUAUUGCACGAUGGGCGCAAGCCUGCUGCAGCCAUGCCGCGUGGAUGAAGAAGGCCUUCGGGUUGUAAAGUACUUUCAGCGGGGAGGCGUUAGCCGCAGAAGAAGCACCGUCUAACUCCGUGCCAGCAGCCGCGGUAAUUC
rnacentral:rRNA from 1 species